GCAGUUGAAUCGCACGUCUC
rnacentral:snRNA from 1 species